rnacentral:rRNA from 1 species
AUUGAACGCUGGCGGCAUGCUUUACACAUGCAAGUCGAACGGUAACAGGCCUUCGGGUGCUGACGAGUGGCGAACGGGUGAGUAAUGCAUCGGAACGUGCCCAGAGGUGGGGGAUAACGCAGCGAAAGCUGUGCUAAUACCGCAUGUGAUCUGAGGAUGAAAGCGGGGGACCAAGCAGCAAUGUUUGGCCUCGCGCCUCUGGAGCGGCCGAUGUCAGAUUAGGUAGUUGGUGGGGUAAAGGCCUACCAAGCCGACGAUCUGUAGCUGGUCUGAGAGGACGACCAGCCACACUGGGACUGAGACACGGCCCAGACUCCUACGGGAGGCAGCAGUGGGGAAUUUUGGACAAUGGGCGCAAGCCUGAUCCAGCAAUGCCGCGUGCGGGAAGAAGGCCUUCGGGUUGUAAACCGCCUUUGUACGGAACGAAAAGGCUCUGGCUAAUACCUGGGGCUGAUGACGGUACCGUAAGAAUAAGCACCGGCUAACUACGUG